rnacentral:rRNA from 1 species
GACGAACGCUGGCGGCGUGCUUAACACAUGCAAGUCGAACGCCCCCUUCGGGGGGAGUGGCAGACGGGUGCGUAACGCGUGGGAAUAUACCUUUUAGUUCGGAAUAACUCAGGGAAACUUGUGCUAAUACCGGAUACGCCCGAGAGGGGAAAGAUUUAUCGCUAAAAGAUUAGCCCGCGUCUGAUUAGCUAGUUGGUGAGGUAAUGGCUCACCAAGGCGACGAUCAGUAGUUGGUCUAAGAGGAUGAUCAGCCACGCUGGGACUGAGACACGGCCCAGACUCCUACGGGAGGCAGCAGUGGGGAAUAUUGGACAAUGGGCGCAAGCCUGAUCCAGCCAUGCCGCGUGAGUGAAGAAGGCCUUAGGGUUGUAGAGCUCUUUUGUGUGGGAAGAUAAUGACUGUACCACAAGAAUAAGCCCCGGCUAACUUCGUGCCAGCCGCCGCCGUAA